AGGUAGAGACAUCACAUGGAGCAGAGCCUUUAUCUGAAGGACCCUCUGGAAUCAUUGUCUGAGACCCUCCUGGAAGACUGAAAGCUACAGGAAUCUGGGCCUAAGGGGCCAAGAGCUAGGGUCUGUAUCAGAUCCCAGCAAUCUGGAUCUGGAGCCUUUGCUCCUAACCACG